rnacentral:rRNA from 1 species
GAUGACGCUUCCUCUGCCUAAACAUGCAAGUCGAACGGCAGCACAGCAGUAGCAAUACUGUGGGUGGCGAGUGGCGGACGGGUGAGUAAUGCAUCGGGAUCUACCCAAACGUGGGGGAUAACGUAGGGAAACUUACGCUAAUACCGCAUACGUCCCAUGGGAGAAAGCGGGGGCUCGCAAGACCUCGCGCGGUUGGACGAACCGAUGUGCGAUUAGCUAGUUGGUAGGGUAAUGGCCUACCAAGGCGACGAUCGCUAGCUGGUCUGAGAGGAUGAUCAGCCACACUGGGACUGAGACACGGCCCAGACUCCUACGGGAGGCAGCAGUGGGGAAUAUUGGACAAUGGGCGCAAGCCUGAUCCAGCAAUGCCGCGUGUGUGAAGAAGGCCUUCGGGUUGUAAAGCACUUUUAUCAGGAGCGAAAUGCCAUGGGCUAAUACCCCGUGGAGCUGACGGUACCUGAGGAAUAAGCACCGGCUAACUUCGUGCCAGCAGCCGCGGUAAUACGAAGGGUGCAAGCGUUAAUCGGAAUUACUGGGCGUAAAGGGUGCGUAGGCGGUUCGUUAAGUCUGUCGUGAAAUCCCCG